rnacentral:rRNA from 1 species
UACGAAGGGGGCUAGCGUUGCUCGGAAUCACUGGGCGUAAAGGGUGCGUAGGCGGGUCUUUAAGUCAGGGGUGAAAUCCUGGAGCUCAACUCCAGAACUGCCUUGAUACUGAAGAUCUUGAGUUCGGGAGAGGUGAGUGGAACUGCGAGUGUAGAGGUGAAAUUCGUAGAUAUUCGGAAGAACACCAGUGGCGAAGGCGACUAACUGGACACGUAUUGACGCUGAGGUACGAAAGCGUGGGGAGCAAACAGGG